GCAGCUCAGUGGGAGAGCAUCUGCUUGGCAUGUAGAAGGUUCCGGGUUCAAUCCCUGGCAGCUCCC
rnacentral:tRNA from 1 species